CACCGCGGUUAUACGAGAGACCCAAGUUGACAGGUUUUCGGCGUAAAGAGUGGUUAAAUUAAUUUUAGACUAAAGCCGAAACCCCCUCAGAACUGUUAUACGUACCCGAGGGUAAGAAGCCCCUUUACGAAAGUAGCUUUAAUACUCUUGACCCCACGAAAGCUGUGAAA
rnacentral:rRNA from 1 species